rnacentral:rRNA from 1 species
UACGUAGGUGGCAAGCGUUGUCCGGAUUUACUGGGCGUAAAGGGCGUGUAGCCGGGCUGACAAGUCAGAUGUGAAAUCCGGGGGCUCAACCCCUGAACUGCACUUGAAACUGUUGGUCUUGAGUAUCGGAGAGGCAGGCGGAAUUCCUAGUGUAGCGGUGAAAUGCGUAGAUAUUAGGAGGAACACCAGUGGCGAAGGCGGCCUGCUGGACGACAACUGACGGUGAGGCGCGAAAGCGUGGGGAGCAAACAGG